UUUGACCUGAAAUCAGG
rnacentral:rRNA from 1 species